rnacentral:tRNA from 1 species
GAGGGUAUAGCUCAGUGGUAGAGCGCAUGCUCAGCAUGCGCCAGCUCCUGGGUUCAACCCCCAGCACCACCU